rnacentral:rRNA from 1 species
AUGGGGAGGGUUGAGCCCGCAGGUGCCAUCGCCGGCAGCACGAAGGCAUCCUGGCCGGAGGUGGUGGGCUGGCCGGCGCACGAUGCAGCGCUCCAGAUCAGCAAGGACAGGCCUGACGUCUCCAUCUCCUUCUACAUAGGCACGGGACGCUGGCCGCCGAGCCCGUACCCCUCGCGUGUCGUCGUGGUGUCAGACACGGCGACCGGCGUGGUCGUCCAGACGCCCGUCGUCGGUUAG